UACGUAGGCAGCAAGCGUUGUUCGGAUUUACUGGCGUAAAGCGCACGUAGGCGGAUCGUUAAGUCGGGGGUGAAAUCCUGGAGCUCAACUCCAGAACUGCCUUCGAUACUGGCGAUCUUGAGUCCGGAAGAGGUGAGUGGAAUUCCUAGUGUAGAGGUGGAAUUCGUAGAUAUUAGGAAGAACACCAGUGGCGAAAGGCGGCUCACUGGUCCGGUACUGACGCUGAGGUGCGAAAGCGUGGGGAGCAAACAGG
rnacentral:rRNA from 1 species